AUUAUGAAGAACUGGACUUUGACAUCUGAGUCUUGGAAUUCUGGGUAGAGCAAGGAGAGGAGCAGUGGCCUGGGUCUCUGUUUUCAAAACACUCGGACCUGUCUUUUUCUGAGUGGAAAAAUCAUGGGCCCGAAACCGAAAGCCCAACCUGCUCAGGGUGCUCCACCUGCCCCGGGUGCUCCACCUGCCCGGGGUGCUCCACCUGCCCGGGGUGCUCGGCCUGCCCGGGGUGCUCCGCCUGCCCGGGGUGCUCGGCCUGCCCGGGGUGCUCCGCCUGCCCGGGGUGCUCGGCCUGCCCCGGGUGCUCCGCCUGCCCGGGGUGCUCGGCCUGCCCGGGGUGCUCCGCCUGCCCGGGGUGCUCGGCCUGCCCCGGGUGCUCCGCCUGCCCGGGGUGCUCGGCCUGCCCCGGGUGCUCCGCCUGCCCAGGGUGCUCCACCUGACCCAGAUAGGAGUCCUAAACAGACGCCUGAAGAACUGGCCUUUUAUGCUCCGAAUUAUUUAUGUUUGACUCUCUUGGCUAUAGUUUUUUGCCCUCCCUUGGGACUCAUAAGUGUCUACUUCUGCUAUAAGACUUCAGUUGCCAACUGGAACAGCAACUGGGAAGAAGCUUAUACCAACUCAGGCCGAACUGGCUGUGUGGAUGUAUUCGCCAUACUCAUUGGUUUGGGCCUCCUUUACGGAUAUAUCCUAUUUUACUGAAGGCCAAGAACAGAGUGCCAGGGUUUUACAACCCAACAAACCCACCCACUAAGACACUGACCAGCCACCAUGCAAGAAACUCAACAGCUGAUUCAUCCCCUAGCCAAGAAACUUGCCACCAACCAAGGAACACAACAUCCAAGCAACCCAGCACCCUAGGAACAACUAGGCCCCUGCCUGUACCACAUCAGCUCACCUGGCCUCCAGAGGAAUCUUCAUUCACCUUGGGAUCCACACAUCAGCACCUGACAUCCUCUUAUUUCCUUAACACUGGGCUGCUCUCUCAGAAAAAAAAUUAAACCAAUAAAACUGAAAAGAAUGUU
rnacentral:lncRNA from 1 species